GAGCCUGCCAAGCAGAGCGCACAAGUGUUCCUGGAGUCUCGCUGCCCAGAUGCCACGGAAUCAGUUGAAGCCAAGUCUCCAGCUGGGGUGGACGUGCCCACCAGCCGCCGAAGGCCAGGACGCCAGGUCCGGUGGACGUGACAAGCAGGACGUGACAUGGUCCGGUGUGACGGCGAGGACAGAGGAGGCGCGUCCGGCCUUCCUGAACACCUUAGGCUGGUGGGGCUGCGGCAAGAAGCGGGUCUGUUUCUUUACUUCCUCCACGGAGUCGGCACACUAUGGCUGCCCUCUGGGCUCCCAGAACCCACAACAUGAAAGAAAUGGUGCUACCCAGCUCAAGCCUGGGCCUUUGAAUCCGGACACAAAACCCUCUAGCUUGGAAAUGAAUAUGCUGCACUUUACAACCACUGCACUACCCGACUCAGGAAUCGGCUCUGGAAGGUGAAGCUAGAGGAACCAGACCUCAUCAGCCCAACAUCAAAGACACCAUCGGAACAGCAGCGCCCGCAGCACCCACCCCGCACCGGCGACUCCAUCUUCAUGGCCACCCCCUGCGGCGGACGGUUGACCACCAGCCACCACAUCAUCCCAGAGCUGAGCUCCUCCAGCGGGAUGACGCCGUCCCCACCACCUCCCUCUUCUUCUUUUUCAUCCUUCUGUCUCUUUGUUUCUGAGCUUUCCUGUCUUUCCUUUUUUCUGAGAGAUUCAAAGCCUCCACGACUCUGUUUCCCCCGUCCCUUCUGAAUUUAAUUUGCACUAAGUCAUUUGCACUGGUUGGAGUUGUGGAGACGGCCUUGAGUCUUGGUGCGAGUGUGUGUGAGUGUGAGCCACCUUGGCAAGUGCCCGCCCAGGGCCCGGCCGCCCUCCAUCUGGGCCGGGUGACUGGGCGCCGGCUGUGUGCCCGAGGCCUCACCCUGCCCUCGCCUAGUCUGGAAGCUCCGACCGACAUCACGGAGCAGCCUUCAAGCAUUCCAUUACACCCAUCUCGCUCUGUG
rnacentral:lncRNA from 1 species